rnacentral:rRNA from 1 species
UACGAAGGGGGCUAGCGUUGUUCGGAUUUACUGGGCGUAAAGCGCACGUAGGCGGAUCUUUAAGUCAGAGGUGAAAUCCCAAGGCUCAACCUUGGAACUGCCUUUGAUACUGGGGAUCUUGAGUCCGGGAGAGGUGAGUGGAACUGCGAGUGUAGAGGUGGAAUUCGUAGAUAUUAGGAAGAACACCAGUGGCGAAGGCGGCUCACUGGUCCGGUACUGACGCUGAGGUGCGAAAGCGUGGGGAGCAAACAGG